CUGCAAAUAACAUACUAAUGCAAAAUUUGGAUCUGUAGCUUCGAAAAGGCAACAAAGGCAUUAAAGACACUGUGGGCUUUGGGUAAGAACUAGGAAGUUGAAUUAAACAGAGAGUUUAAGAUUUAUUUUGAACAGAAAUGACGAGAUAGAAUUUGGAGGCCGUAGUUUGGCUGCACCCUUGGCUUCUUCAGUUUUAAAUGGAUGUUCAUGCAAACAAUGUUACAAUCUUUUCUGCUACGGGGCCAUCCCAACCUGGAGGACAAUGACCUGAUGCUGAAUUACAGGUUCAUCAGAGAAGAUUCAUCUCGCCUCCCUUUAUGUUUUGACAGGAUGGUCUAGUAAAAGGUUUUACGUUUAAUGUAAAGCUUUGCUGUGUCUAUGUCCUUAAGCCUGCACAACCACAGUUACUCUGCUGCUACUCACCCAGGCCUCCACUGUAGUCAAUGACCAAACUGAGAGAAAUAUGUACAAAUGGCAGUUCAUCCCAUCGGAAGAUAAAUAUCUGCUGUGGGAGAUGACUCACCCUCUGGAGAUGCUGCUCCCUUUCUCCUGCUGUAAAGGGGCCUGGAUGACUGCCGAACAUCUGGAGCAUUAACACUAGGUGUGACGGACCUCUCCCAAGGGAGACCCACAGUGAAGGCCAAGGAAGACUCAGUUCAAAUCAACAGGAUGACUGAGCAUCCAGAACAAGCAGAAAAUUCCAGCAAAGCUGGAAUUUCACAUUGUGUGCCACCGCUUUCUGAGCAAUCUCUGAAAUAACAAUAUUCGCUGACCUGCAACACAUGCAAGACUUACAUGGUCUCCCUGGCUUUUCUUAUCAGUUGAAGUAUAAGAUGCUUCACUGACAAAAAGCCUUGAGACUAUUGAGCUGUCUCAUAACAUGCCUUGCCUUUCUCUCCACUCAAGUGCAUUAAUUAUGAAAACUUUUUAAAAAACUUAAGACAUUUUGAGAACUGCUUUCCCAGUUAGCUUCUUUUAAAAAUAAAAAGGAUUUAGUAAAGUUGCAACACAUGACUGUGUGACUUCUGGCCAAAAUCACAGGUAUAUUUCAUCUGACGUUAGGAAAGGGCUAUAUAGAGUUAUGGCCUCUCUUGUUGAGUAUGCAUUGAGUAUGCAUAUUUCCUUUUAUUUAUUUAUUUUUUUAAUUGUAAGUAUUUAUUUACUUCACUCAAAAAUCCCAUAUUACUACUAAUGCUUACAUAAUUCUUACAGAAAACCAAAACAAAACACUUUUACUUUAAAUGCCUAUGUUUCUCUACCGAAUGCUGCAUUUAUUGUUAGUGAUGUAUAUUUGUUAAAUAAAACUGUUAUGUAAUGCCACAUA